rnacentral:rRNA from 1 species
UGGGGAAUAUUGCGCAAUGGGCGAAAGCCUGACGCAGCAACGCCGCGUGAGUGAUGAAGGCCUUCGGGUCGUAAAGCUCUGUCGGAGGGAACGAAUGCUCCUGAAGUUAACAGCCUCAGGAGGUGACGGUACUAUUUAUAAGGUCCGGCUAACUACGUGCCAGCAGCCGCGGUAAUACGUAGGGACCAAGCGUUGUUCGGAUUUACUGGGCGUAAAGGGCGCGUAGGCGGCAUGACAAGUCACUUGUGAAAUCUCUGGGCUUAACCCAGAACGGCCAAGUGAUACUGUCGCGCUAGAGUGCAGAAGGGGCAAUCGGAAUUCUUGGUGUAGCGGUGAAAUGCGUAGAUAUCAAGAGGAACACCUGAGGUGAAGACGGGUUGCUGGGCUGACACUGACGCUGAGGCGCGAAAAGCCAGGGGAGCAAACGGGAUUAGAUACCCAUGUAGUCCCUGAGCGGGCUGGCAAGGCGCAU